rnacentral:rRNA from 1 species
UACGUAGGGUGCAAGCGUUGUCCGGAAUUAUUGGGCGUAAAGAGCUCGUAGGCGGUUUGUCGCGUCUGGUGUGAAAAUCCAGGGCUUAACCCUGGACCUGCAUCGGGUACGGGCAGACUAGAGUGCGGUAGGGGAGAUCGGAAUUCCUGGUGUAGCGGUGAAAUGCGCAGAUAUCAGGAGGAACACCGGUGGCGAAGGCGGAUCUCUGGGCCGUAACUGACGCUGAGGGGCGAAAGCAUGGGGAGCGAACAGG